rnacentral:rRNA from 1 species
GAGUUCGAUCAUGGCUCAGAUUGAACGCUGGCGGAUGCUUUACACAUGCAAGUCGAAAUCGGCAGCACGGACUUCGGUCUGGGAGGGCGAGUGGCGAACGGGUGAGUAUCGUAUCGGAACGGUGCUUAGUAGCGGGGGAUAACUACAUGAAAGCGUAGCUAAUACCGCAUACGCCCUUCGGGGAAAGCGGGGGACCUUUCGGGCCUCGCAAUUAUUAGAGCGGCCGAUAUCGGAUUAGCUAGUUGUGGGGUAACGGCUCACCAAGGCGAUGAUCCGUAGCUGGUUUGAGAGGACGACCAGCCGGCACUGGGAUCGAGACACGGCCCAGACUCCUACGGAGUACAGUGGGGAAUUUUGGACACCGGGGAAACUUGAUCCAGCCAUUCCGCGUGCGAUGAAGGCUUUCAAGAAAAGCACUUUGGCAGGAAGAAACGGCACGGAUAAUACCUGCGCAACUGACGGUACCUUGCAGAAUAAGCACUGGUUAACUACGUGCCAGCAGCCGCGGUAAUACGUAGGUGCAAGCGUUAAUCGGAAUUACUGGCGUAAAGCGUGCGCAGGCGGUUCGGAAAGAAAGAUGUGAAAUCCCAGAGCUUAACUUUGGAACUGCAUUUUUAACUACCGGCUGAGCUAGAGUGUGUCAGAGGAGGACCCGCGUGUAGCAGUGAAUGGUGUAGAUAUGCGGAGGAACACCGAUGGCGAAGGCAGCCUCCUGAUAACACUGACGCUCAUAUCAAAGCGUGGGGAGCAAACAGGAUUAGAUACUCCGGUAGUCCACGCCCAAACGAUGUCAACUAGCUGUUGGGGCCUUCGCCUUGGUAGCGCAGCUAACGCGUGAAGUUGACCGCUCCGGGGAGUACGGUCGCAAGAUUAAAACCGAAGGAAUUGACGGGGACCCGCACAAGCGGUGGAUGAUGUGGAUUAAUCUGAUGCAACGAAAACCUUACCUACCCUUGACAUGUCUGGAAUCCCGAAGAGAUUUGGGAGUGCUGCAAGAGAACCGGAACACAGGUGCUAAAUGGCCGCCGCUUCCGUCGUGAGAUGUUGGGUUAAGUCCCGCAACGAGCGCAACCCUUGUCAUUAGUUGCUACGAAAGGGACUCCCCAUCGAGACUGCUGCGACAAACCGAGGAAGGUGGGGAUGACGUCAAGUCCUCAUGGCCCUUAUGGGUAGGGCUUCACACGUCAUACAAUGGCCGGGACAGAGGGUCGCCAACCCGCGAGGGGGAGCCAAUCCCAGAAACCCGAUCGUAGUCCGGAUCGCAGUUCGCAAACUCGACUGCGUGAAGUCGGAAUCGCUAGUAAUCGCGGAUCAGCAUGAAAUGCGGUGAAUACGUUCCCGGUCUUGUACACACCGCCCGUCACACCAUGGGAGUGGGCUUUACCAGAAGUAGUUAGCCCUAACCGUAAGGAGGGCGAUUACCACGGUAGGAUCUAUGAUCGGGGGUGAAGUCGUAACAAGGUAA